UAUGAGAAUCCAUGUCACCCUUC
rnacentral:piRNA from 1 species